rnacentral:lncRNA from 1 species
CUCUCUUUGCCUGCCACCCUGUAAGAUAUGACUUGCUCCUCCUUGCCUUCCACCCUGUUUGUGAGGCUUCCCUGGUCACAUGGAACUUUGCUUGUUGCAUGCCUUCUAAACAGCCUACCCUGCCAAGUGCCAUGAUUACUGUGACCACAUCUUCAGAACCAGAAAACAGGAUACCUGGCCCUAAGCAUGCACUCAUGGAGCAGAAGAGUUUUAAAUCUGGAAUGCCACAGAAGACAGAAGAUAACAUGCUUACUACACUUGUAAAGCAACAUGCAGCCAGCCAUUUCCAGUGCAAAUUAUCUCAUUGCAUAGUGUGACAACUAAAGGUCAUAACCAUAAUA